ACAACACUGGGAUCAAGACCUGAGCUGAGAUCAAGAGUCAGACAUUUAACUGGACCACCCAGGAAUUUUAGGAUCAGCUUGUCAAUGUCUCCAAAAAACACAGCUGGGAUUUGGAUGGAGAGGGCACUGAAUUAGCAGUGUCAUCUUCACAAUAAAGGAGUGGGAAAGAGAAUCUCAAGCAGACUCCCCACUGCAGAGCCCACUGCAGG